UGGGGAAUUUUCCGCAAUGGGCGAAAGCCUGACGGAGCAAUACCGCGUGAGGGAUGACGGCCUAUGGGUUGUAAACCUCUUUUUUCAGGGAGGAAUCAAUGACGUGUACCUGAAGAAUAAGCAUCGGCUAACUCCGUGCCAGCAGCCGCGGUAAGACGGAGGAUGCAAGUGUUAUCCGGAAUCACUGGGCGUAAAGCGUCUGUAGGUGGUUUAAUAAGUCAACUGUUAAAUCUUGAGGCCCAACCUCAAAAUCGCAGUCGAAACUAUUAGACUAGAGUAUAGUAGGGGUAAAGGGAAUUUCCAGUGGAGCGGUGAAAUGCGUAGAGAUUGGAAAGAACACCGAUGGCGAAGGCACUUUACUGGGCUAUUACUAACACUCAGAGACGAAAGCUAGGGUAGCAAAUGGGAUUAGAUACCCCCGUAGUCC
rnacentral:rRNA from 1 species